rnacentral:rRNA from 1 species
UCGAGAAUCUUCCGCAAUGGACGAAAGUCUGACGGAGCGACGCCGCGUGUGGGAUGAAGGCCCUCGGGUUGUAAACCACUGUCAGUUGGGAGGAAAUCCAUAGGGGUUCUCCCCUAUGGUUGACCCAUCUUCAGAGGAAGGGCGGGCUAAGUUCGUGCCAGCAGCCGCGGUAAGACGAACCGCCCGAACGUUAUUCGGAAUCACUGGGCUUAAAGGGUGCGUAGGCGGCUUGGCAAGUUGGGUGUGAAAUCCCUCGGCUCAACCGAGGAACUGCGCCCAAAACUGCCAGGCUAGAGGGAGAUAGAGGUGAGCGGAACUUAUGGUGGAGCGGUGAAAUGCGUUGAUAUCAUAAGGAACACCUGUGGCGAAAGCGGCUCACUGGAUCUCUUCUGACGCUGAGGCACGAAAGCUAGGGGAGCGAACGGGAUUAGAUACCCCCGUAGUCC